rnacentral:rRNA from 1 species
UACGGAGGGUGCGAGCGUUGUCCGGAAUCACUGGGCGUAAAGGGCGCGUAGGUGGCCUGUGGAAGUCUGCGGUGAAAGCCCGGCGCUCAACGCCGGGUCGGCCGUGGAUACUCUCGGGCUCGAGCUUACUAGAGGCAGAUGGAAUUCCGGGUGUAGCGGUGGAAUGCGUAGAGAUCCGGAAGAACACCGGUGGCGAAGGCGGUCUGCUGGGGUAAUGCUGACACUGACGCGCGACAGCGUGGGGAGCAAACAGG